GGGGCUGUAGCUCAGUUUGGGAGAGCGAUUCGUUCGCAACGAAUAGGUCGGCGGUUCGAUCCCGCUCAGCUCCA
rnacentral:tRNA from 2 species